CCGGGGUUGUCGUGGGCUGCCUUUGCCACAGACUUGCCUGGGCUGUCUCCGUUCAGCCCCGUUCUCCCUCCUGGUGUGGGCGACCUGGGACUGGUGGACGUUUACUGGCUUUGAACAGGAGCUGCUGUGGGUGAAGCUUAAGAUGCUUGAAAAACGUGAAACAGCCAGAGAACAACAUCAAGGUGAUUGAGCCAGAAGGUGCUUCCUGCGGCAGGGAAGAGACAGCCAAGCAUUUCUGGGUGAGGAAGGGUCCCCUCUGAGUUGUCCUCAGCAGACCAGAUUGCUGAUACGUACCGCAGGGUCCGUACGCGUAUCCAAAAUCACGGUGGAGGAUGGUCAAGUGACCAGCGCUGCAGAAGAGGAAGGGACAGAGAAAGAGAGAGGCACCUGAACUGGAAAAUUCUGUGGGCAGCGCUGAAAGCAGGAGCUGCGAAUGCCAGCUGCCAGCGUUUCUCCGUGGUCGCCCUUCCUUCUGCCGUGAUGGUACAGGACAGAC